GGGGAAAUCAGGCUGUUUUCGCCGCCGGGGCCAGCCCGCUUCCCCUCGGGGUCUCGGCCACACCGGGACCGGGAGGCAGCGGCGCUGGGGCCGGGUGGCAGCGGGUGGCCGGGGGGGGACAAAGUCCAGCGGGGAGAGCCGUGAGAGCUGCCCGGGUGGCACGGGUCGGGGGGAAGGUGCGAGAAAGCCCGAGCGAGAGGCUGGAAGCGCUGCUCCGCCGGGCUCGAGAGGUUAAUAAAUACACCCGUCCCCUCUCCCCUGCCCGCCCGAGGCUAAGACUCGCAGCUCAGCGGGUAAUUGACAGUCUCGAUCCAAAAUUGAAACAUGUGUUAACAACAACGCCACGCAUCCGAGGAGCUACCCGGGAGAUCGCCACCUCACGGUCUUUAUAUAUUAUUUGAAUCCACCGGAGGGAAGUGUCACGAGGUUUUCCGAGCACGUUUCACCCCUACCUGUAAAUCAACUCUUAUCACUGCUGGCUGCUCGGGCAGGGGCAGCCUCCGCUUUAUAAAGCAGCAGGAGGAGAGCCGGUCCUCCCUCUCGGCGCUGCUGCCACGCCGCCCCCAGGCAAAGCCCGCCCGGCCCGGCCCGACCCUUCCCGAUUCUCGCCCCCUCGGCGUGUCCCCACGCGUGUCCGGCAGCGGGCGGGGACGCGUCGAGCCGCCGGCCGGGCUGCUCGCCUUCACGGAGACGUGGCUCGCCGGGGACGUGCUCGCACACCCACAGCGGGGUGGAGGAGGCGCCCCCUCCCCCGACACCCCUUUAACCGCGCCCCACACUUUAAGGGAAUUCGCUGUCCCCGCAGGAGAGACCGCGCCAGGGCAGGGAAAGCGCAAACUUGCGCCGGAGCGCUCGGACGUGCAGAGGCAGGACAGCGCUGGCAGGGUUCCCCGGCAAGGGCAGGUCUCCAGGGCCCACAGCCGCCAGCUCCAUCCCUCCCCCCGCCGUCCCCACCGGCCCCUUUCCCCUCCGCCAGCCCCGGCGAGGAGCGGCCCCGGCCCCGGGGAAGCACCGGGAGCCCCCCGCGGGCAGAGCCGGCUCCGAGCCCCGCUCCGGAGGUCAGGGCCGGCGGGGGCAGGCAGAUGGAAAAUCCCAGUUCCUGCCGCACAUAACAAACAAGGUGCAGCCCUGCUUCAGCCAGGGUGUGCUCGGCCACCGUGGAAAUGGGCUCUUUCACCUGAGCUGACCCCUCUGCCUGCCUGCAGGAACCAUGCCAAGGAGCAGCAAAACAGGCAGGAUGGAGGAGCGGGAGGCAUGCGGAGAUAUUUGGAAACAAAAAAUGGAACGAGAGAUGGAAUGGGGGUUACAGAGGUAAAAAAACAAACAGACAAACAAACAUUAAAACCAGGGUUCUGAUCCUGUCCCUCCCAGAACUGCUUUAUAUUAACAGCAAUAGUUGCAUGCAUCUUAUUUGUGGCUACAGACCUGAGUCUGCAUUGCACAGGAUGGGUUUGGGGAAGGUAACUAGCAGCAAAGAGGAUAGCUUCUUUGCUGACCAUGUCUCCAGUUCCAGUCACCAUGCACUAAACCAGCAAAGCAGUCAAAGAUAUGCUUGGCUGUAAGCACGUGAGUAGUUUCACUGAUUGCAAAGGCACUACUCAGCUGUUUUAAAGGUAAGCAUAAGCCCGAAUGCUUUGCUUCAUUGGGCUUUGCAAGAGCUGGGUACACAGCCCCUAAAUCAGCACCUUAAAUGAUGCCCUGGCACAGAAAUACAGUCACUGCAAACCAGAGUAGAGGGAAAUACAAUCACAAAAUGGUUUGGGUUGGAAGGGACCUUAAGGAUCAUCUAAUUCCAACCCCCCUGCCAUGAGCAGGGAAAUCAAAGACAUGCAGGGUGGAUGCUUUUUAAAUAAAUUGAAUAGGAUGAAGGCGAGCUUCCUAGGUAUUAACAAUUCAUUGAAAUGGUUUAUGUGUGGAUUGCUCCCAGUAAAGUUGCAAGAUUGCUGCUCUCCUGUUAACCUAACAAAUCAAUAGUGGCACCCAGUGGCUAGAGGGGUUAAUCAAAAAUUUACCUUUGUCUCUCAUGAUUCCCCUUGCACAAAAGUUAGCGUUUAUAUGCAAAUACCCCUGCCUUGGUAUCAUGUGCAUUAAAUCCAGACCCAGCUGAUCUGGAGUAGGGUUUCAUCUGGAAGGUAUCUGCUGAGUAAUGAUCACAAUUUCUGUUCACAGAGGCACGAGCCUGCAAGGUGAAAUGCUUAGGCUUCUAGCACAGCACAUGGCAGGCUGCAAAACCACUGCAUUUUGGCGUGGUUGGAGGAUAGUUAAUGCUUAUUUAUUCUGUGAGAGCACUAAACCUGCACAAAUGAAAAUUAUGCCUGUUGUAAGAGUUCCAGGACUUCCCUCCAGAGAACACUUUCCAAAAUUUGCUGACUUUCAGUACUUAUGGAAUUUCAAGAGCCAAGUGAUCCAUAGGAAAGUUAAAACCCAGCUAGUAAAUGAAAUGAGCAAUUAACUGAACUGAUGAGAGGGAACAUGCAAACUCUGGAGCCAUAGUUUCUGGAUCUUUAGCCUCUACUUGGAGCAUAUACAAGGAAAAAAAAUGUCUUGUAAAAGACAAGUAAAAACAAUGUAGUUUAUUCCUGAAGGAUACAUUCAGGGGGCUUAAAGGACAUGUCCAGUGGCCAUAACAGGUCAGGACCACCUUGCCCCCACCUGACACUUUUGCCAUCACACCAAUGACUAUUUCUGUUAAAACUUCCAACUCUAGCCACACACCAUUCUCCACUCCCCCACCUCCCUGUCUGUCAAAAAGGGAGAAGAUGUUAAUUUAUUUCUUGCUCCCCUUUAGAGGCUGUUCCCAGACACCAGAAUCAUCCUUUUGGAGCUGAGGGAUGGUCGCACGCAUGCUGGCAGCUGGGACAGCUGGCUUCUGCUAGGGUGUCCUCAGCCACUGACAGCUGAUCUUGCCUGCAGAGUGGACCAGGAGUAACAGGGAAGUGGCAAUCUUAAUUUCUGUUUCAGCCAUUUUUCACAUUCCCUGCCAUCAUGAGGACACAGAUCACUGGUUGUGCCCUUUCCAGCCUCUUUUUAUGGCACACAAUCCUUGUGGCUGCUGGUCGUUGACCCUUAUGGCUGCUUGCUAUGGGUAGCAGGGAAGCGUUGGUGAUCCUGGUUUACAGGGUAGAUAUCUUGCAACUCCUUCCUAGGUCUCUAUUUUUGGCUUUUGCAAUUCUGCAAAUAAUAAUAAUAAUAAAAAAAUGUAGAAAUGUAGGUCUUUGGGCAAGAACUUCCUGACCAUCAAGGUCAGAUCUCUGCAAUCACAGGGGUUAUCUACCUUUCCCAAUGUAAGUUGCUUUAUCCUUGCAGAAACUGGACAAUCUCUCUGUGCCUCAGCAUGCCUACCAGGUAAACGGGAGCAGCAUCAGGCAGGAUUUUGGUAGCAGGAGGGCUGUGCUGUGGUAUUACACUCUUUGCCAAGCAAUUUAUGAUCUCCGGUUGGGACAUACCAGCGAAGCACAUGAGCUUUUAAAACUUAUGUACCCAUGAAAAUGAUCUUGGAAAACUUUUGCUUCUGACUCUCAGCACAUUCCUUAACUGAACUGCUCAGCAUUGCCUUCAUCCAUCCCCUCGCCCCCAGCCUUCCCUGCCUUCUCCGAAGGUGGGCAUGAAAUGUGUGAGCAGCAGGGUGCUCUGCUAUGGCCCAUUGGUUUCUCUUGUUUGGUUGCUUUGAUUUCUUUUUCCUCAGUGAGAGAGGAUGCAAUAGGUGAUGUAAAACGUGCAUGCCAAAGAGAGCAUACAUACAUUCCUCUGUGCAUUGCUUAACACGAGGCAGAAAACUUUUCACUGGUUCUUCUAGUCUGUGCAAGAGCUCCUCGCCCGGCUGGUGAGCACAGAGCUUAACCCGUGUGGGCAUACUGGUGUAGCAGGGUCCAGGUGUCCCUUCUGUCCUGUCAGCAUGUCCAGCCUCAGCCUCAAUUACACAUUCUUCAGCCUUUUCAUUAAGGAGUCACACUUGUGUGUGAUGUCUUGUGUUUGGAGGUGGCAAAAAAAAACUGUCAGGCACUGGUUGUUUUCUUAAUACAGUAAUAAAACGUAGAAGUGAUAAACUAUUAAUUCUACAGAGAUUUUUUUUUUUUUUUUUUUUUUUUUUAAAUUCUCAGGAGCAUCAAAUCCAAAGAGGACUUAAUACAAGUAUUCCUAGGGGAUGGUGUUCAUAAGCGUUGUGGCCAUAUGGGCAUACAGCUGGCUAACCACUUCCUCUGCAGCCUUCUCUUUCAGUAGGGAUCCUCAGGAGGGGUAGAAAAAGGCUACAAUGAUGUGAAAACCGAUCUCCCCAGCCCUCGGGGAAACAUAACUCCAGCCAUAAACAAGUUAGUAAGGAACAAAAGGAUGUGCAGAGGGACCAUCGCUGGUCUAAAUCAUCAGCUGAGACUAAUUUACACCACAGAGAGCCUGACGUAUAUGUUCAAGCCAGGAAAAGCCCAAUAAUUCAAAAGAAAAAAAAAUAUCCAAUCUGUUCCUGCUUGCAGGAACACCUUUCUUAUCAGGGCAAUUCUUCAAAACCCGGUAAUCACCAGCAAAGCCCAAAUUCACUAUCGAUCCAGCUUCAGCUCUCACGUACCUUCCUGCACCUGUAGCGGGAUGCCUUCAAAGCCCCCCCCGGACCCCUCUUCCAAACAGCAGCCCCAUGGGUUUGAGGAAAGGGGAGCUUUGUGCUGCUUCUGUGUAGGGGCAGGUGUGAACCGAGCCAGGGGGACAUGCAGGAGACACACCACAAGCACAGGGCUCAGGGCAGCACGGAGGGCACAUCCAGUGUUUGGAGCUGUUUCACCCAAAAUUGGUUUCAGAAGCACUCCACGCCUCGGCUCCAUGUGCAGAAGAGGGCUUUCAACGCCUUUUGCAAUAAGGCUUGGUUCCUCUCACCAUUCAUUAGAGCCCUGGAAGAUAUUUUAUAACUAACAUGAUGUGUUCAAAUGGCUUCACAUUAUGACCAACCAUGCUGUAAUGUUUGCGAUGAACUUGCUUUGUCUUCCCUUCCUUUUUCUGCCCUUCCCCUCCCCUCCCCACAAAACCCCGUUAACAGAGCCAUCAGCCCCUCACAAUUAACU
ensembl:lncRNA